CGCGAGAGAGAGUCUAGAGACUCGUAUAAAUUUCACUACAAACAAAGUUUUCAAAUCUAAAUUUUCGUACUCUCGAUCUCUGAAGAAAGGAGUGAAUUACCGACCGACAAUGGGUCGGCGAAGGAGCUCCCCGGCGACGGUGGUGUUUGGAUGGAUGAGAAGACAGUCAGUGAAGGUGAAAAGCUUGAUCGGAGUGAUAAUUGGAUUGUGUUGUUUGGUUGGUUUGAAAUUAGCAGUGAAAGAUCAUAAUCAUUUCUUUAUAGCGUCUGAGACAAUCCACGCUGCUGGGAUUUUGGUUUUGAUAUAUAAGCUCACAACGCAGAAGACAUGUUCUGGUCUUUCACUUAAGAGCCAACAACUCACGGCUUUAUUUUUAGCUGUGAGAUUGGUUUGUAGCGUCCUGAUUGAAGGCGACAUCCAUACAGUGCUAGAUUUUGCCACAUUAAUUUCAACCACAUGGGUUAUUUAUAUGAUACAAUUCAAGCUGAAGUCCACCUACAUCAAGGAACUAGACAACAUGCCUUUGUACUAUACGGUUGUGCCUUCUGCUAUUCUGGCUAUACUAAUCCACCCCUAUGGAUCGAGUUUGGGCAUUAGUAGAUUUCUUUGGGCUUUUUGUGUAUACUUGGAAUCUGUCUCAGUGCUGCCUCAGCUUCGUCUCAUGCAAAAUGCAAAGAUGAUUGAACCAUUUACAGCUCAUUAUGUAUUUGCAUUGGGUAUUGCAAGGUUCUUAGCAUGUGCCCACUGGAUCAUCCAGGUUUACGAGACUGGUGGGAGGCAUCUAUUCUUGAUUGGGAGUGGAUACUUGUGGCUUCCUAUGGCACUUCUUUCAGAAGGUGUUCAAACAUUCAUCUUGGCUGAUUUCUGUUACUAUUACAUCAAGAGUUUCAUGGAAGGCCAGCUUCUGAUGAGAAUGCCAGUUUAGGAUGCCUGAUUAUGAAGAAUUGAGGACAACUUAGAACUUAAUUUGAUGAUAUUAUUGUGUCAUGGGUCUAAUUAAACUUUCCAUUAGAGUUGUUCUUCUGGCGGUGCGAAGAAGGUAAACCAAUGUUCCAAAUAGUUCGAGAUCAUCUCUCCAGGUUGAUGUUUGUAUUUUGGGCUUUGGAUCAGUGUCUCUCCAAAACUUAUGUGCUUAUUAGCUGGAUUGGUGUUCAAUCCAUCUAUCUUGUAACUUUUGUUUUUCUUGAUAUAUUCUCCUUUUCAGUUAAAAAAAAAUAAAGAAAUCUAAAAUUUGGUUUGCCGCAUCAUAAAAGAGUCAAUUCAUUAACAAU